CGCAUCUGUGCAUGCAGCAUAUCAAUAAGCGGAGGAAAAGAAACUAACAAGGAUUCCCCUAGUAACGGCGAGUGAAGCGGGAAGAGCUCAAAUUUGAAAUCUUAAAGGGUUUCCCUUUACGAAUUGUAGUUUAAAGAAGUGUUUUCUGUUGAGGUUUUGGUAAAAGUUCUUUGGAAUAGGACAUCAUAGAGGGUGAGAAUCCCGUAUUUGACCUUUACUUUCAACUUUGUGAUACACUUUCAAAGAGUCGGAUUGUUUGGGAAUGCAGUCCAAAAUGGGUGGUAAAUUUCAUCUAAAGCUAAAUAUUGGCGAGAGACCGAUAGCGAACAAGUACCGUGAGGGAAAGAUGAAAAGAACUUUGAAAAGAGAGUUAAACAGUACGUGAAAUUGUCAAAAGGGAAGCGUUUGACACCAGUGUUGUUUUUCUGAAAAUCAAUUAAAGAACUGAUUUAUGCUAAGUUGUUUAGACUUUAUCAGCUAACUGUUUAGUUUUGAGCUUUUCUUUAAUGCACUUUUCAGUUAACAAGUCAACAUCAAUUUCUUUUGCUGUAAAAAAGCUUGAGGAAGGUGGCUUGAGAUUCGUCUUAAGUGUUUAUAGCCUCUUGCCUAUGCAGUCGGAGAGAUUGAGGUCUGCAGCGUAGAUCCUUCGGGGCUAAAUGCAUUUGUGCUAAGUUAUAACAUUUUAUAGGACAACUUGUUGACUAUGAUUUGUCUUGUAGCUUACUCGCUUAUGUUAUUUUACCUACGCUUAGGAUGUUGAGCGCAUGUCUCUCUCU
rnacentral:rRNA from 1 species